ACUUUGUUUUGCAGCCAGCGAACGAGGCAAGUUGCAAACGACCAACUUUAUUCUCAGAUGUUGCCUUUAACAACGUCGCGUUAUAUAAUUCCCUGUUUACAGUUGAAGUCAUAUUUUAACGCGGUAUAUGCAAAUUACGAAGGAAGUAGAAUAAAUUAUGUUCGUGAUUUCUGGCCAUGUUUCUCACUUUGAUACCAGCAGGCUUACCGCCAUCUGCUACUCGAUAGUGCUUAGAGAAAGUAGUGGUGAACGAAAAGAAGACAAAACUGUUUCCAAAGCAAUUGGCUAUUGCGCUAUGUCAUUUGCGGGGCUCUAUUUUUAUAAAUGGCACAUAUGUGUGUAUAUAAUAUUGUAUAGAAUAUUUAUUAAAACUAAUUUUUAAUGAUGAAACCUUUUGUUCGCAAACAGUUUUGUCACAGAAGAAUUUUUUGUUUGUUUUCGAUGUUGGCAAACAGGAAAAUAUUUGAGAAAAACAUUUUCAGAUGUUGCUGCAACGAUGUUUUCGAGGGUGUAAAAGACGGAAACGUUUGAGGACACAUGAAAUUUUCAGAACAAUAUAUCAUUGUUUACCAAAAAGGCCAAUAUUUAUAUCAGUUACUAUCUAUUACAAUAUGGUGGAAUUUCAUGCAAUAAGUCAUUUGUCUUCAUUGGUGUUAGUUUUCCAUAACUUUUUACAAUUUUGUAAUUUUGGAUUUUUGUGGCACACAAAUGGUAAGUAUCAGCCUUAAAACUAGGGAUAGAAUGGGCUAGAUGUGAGAAAUAUUGUUUAACAAGUAACAGGCAACUUGAAAUUGAACAUUCCAGACAUGGAUUUAAGCAUUUUGAAAGUCUCAAGAAAAAAUAUACUUGAAUGAUCAAAGCGGCAAAUCCAUUUAUAAAAUAAAUCAAUUUUGGAAUUUUAGGCAGCGCUUGAAUAAUUAAAUUUGAGAGCAAAAUCCCAGCCAAUCAAAUGAACUUCGAAUUAUUUUGGAGUUGAAAAGCAUUUUUCAACGCAUGCGUGUUUAUCCUAUAAAACAGAACACAAAAACAGAAAAAGAAGCA